rnacentral:tRNA from 1 species
GGCCUCGUAGCUCAGUUGGCUAGAACGUUGGCGGAACUAAAACCUUCCCCUUGCUGGCGUGGAUUCGAAUCCCACCGAGGCCA